rnacentral:rRNA from 1 species
GUUUGAUCCUGGCUCAGGACGAACGCUGGCGGCGUGCUUAACACAUGCAAGUCGAACGGGGUGUUUAUUUCGGUAAACACCAAGUGGCGAACGGGUGAGUAACGCGUAAGCAAUCUACCUUCAAGAUGGGGACAACACUUCGAAAGGGGUGCUAAUACCGAAUGAAUGUAAGAGUAUCGCAUGAGACACUUACUAAAGGAGGCCUCUGACAUAAGCUUCCGCUUGAAGAUGAGCUUGCGUCUGAUUAGCUAGUUGGUGAGGGUAAAGGCCCACCAAGGCGACGAUCAGUAGCCGGUCUGAGAGGAUGAACGGCCACAUUGGGACUGAGACACGGCCCAGACUCCUACGGGAGGCAGCAGUGGGGAAUCUUCCGCAAUGGGCGAAAGCCUGACGGAGCAACGCCGCGUGAACGAAGAAGGUCUUAGGAUCGUAAAGUUCUGUUGUUAGGGACGAAGGGUAAGAAUCAUAAUAAGGUUUUUAUUUGACGGUACCUAACGAGGAAGCCACGGCUAACUACGUGCCAGCAGCCGCGGUAAUACGUAGGCGGCAAGCGUUGUCCGGAAUUAUUGGGCGUAAAGGGAGCGCAGGCGGGAAACUAAGCGGAUCUUAAAAGUGCGGGGCUCAACCCCGUGAUGGGGUCCGAACUGGUUUUCUUGAGUGCAGGAGAGGAAAGCGGAAUUCCCAGUGUAGCGGUGAAAUGCGUAGAUAUUGGGAAGAACACCAGUGGCGAAGGCGGCUUUCUGGACUGUAACUGACGCUGAGGCUCGAAAGCUAGGGUAGCGAACGGGAUUAGAUACCCCGGUAGUCCUAGCCGUAAACGAUGGAUACUAGGUGUGGGAGGUAUCGACCCCUUCCGUGCCGGAGUUAACGCAAUAAGUAUCCCGCCUGGGGAGUACGGCCGCAAGGUUGA